AGAAAAGCAGGGGAUCGCAAGGCCUUGCGCUUUUGGAGCGGCCGAUGUCUGAUUAGCUAGUUGGUGAGGUAAAGGCUUACCAAGGCUUCGAUCAGUAGCUGGUCUGAGAGGACGACCAGCCACACUGGGACUGAGACACGGCCCAGACUCCUACGGGAGGCAGCAGUGGGGAAUUUUGGACAAUGGGGGAAACCCUGAUCCAGCCAUGCCGCGUGAGUGAAGAAGGCCUUCGGGUUGUAAAGCUCUUUCAGCCGGAACGAAACGGUCACGGCUAAUACCUGUGAUCACUGACGGUACCGGAAGAAGAAGCACCGGCUAACUACGUGCCAGCAGCCGCGGUAAUACGUAGGGUGCGAGCGUUAAUCGGAAUUACUGGGCGUAAAGCGUGCGCAGGCGGUUUUGUAAGUCAGAUGUGAAAUCCCCGGGCUCAACCUGGGAACUGCGUUUGAAACUACAAAGCU
rnacentral:rRNA from 1 species